rfam:Triticum aestivum genome assembly, contig: Triticum_aestivum_CS42_TGACv1_scaffold_642311_T_7BL-0.157713_3B-0.147703
AUACCUUUCUUGGCCUUUUGGCUAAGAUCAAGUGUAGUAUCUGUUCUUAUCAGUUUAAUAUCUGAUAUGUGGGCCAUGUGCCCACAAUGAUAUUAAAUUUAUUUUUUGUGGGGGAGGGGCCACCACAAUGGCUUGCCAUUGGGUCCCUCAGGUGUCGCCUAGUGCGUUGCAUUACUGCCUGGGCAGGUACACCCCAA